rnacentral:rRNA from 1 species
GGCGGUGCGGCUGACUUACCAUGCAGUCGACGGCAGCGGGGGUAGCUUGCUACCUGCCGGCGAGUGGCGAACGGGUGAGUAAUACAUCGGAACGUGCCCUGUAGUGGGGGAUAACUAGUCGAAAGACUAGCUAAUACCGCAUACGACCUGAGGGUGAAAGUGGGGGACCGCAAGGCCUCAUGCUAUAGGAGCGGCCGAUGUCUGAUUAGCUAGUUGGUGGGGUAAAGGCCCACCAAGGCGACGAUCAGUAGCUGGUCUGAGAGGACGAUCAGCCACACUGGGACUGAGACACGGCCCAGACUCCUACGGGAGGCAGCAGUGGGGAAUUUUGGACAAUGGGGGCAACCCUGAUCCAGCAAUGCCGCGUGUGUGAAGAAGGCCUUCGGGUUGUAAAGCACUUUUGUCCGGAAAGAAAUCGCACUGGUUAAUACCUGGUGUGGAUGACGGUACCGGAAGAAUAAGGACCGGCUAACUACGUGCCAGCAGCCGCGGUAAUACGUAGGGUCCAAGCGUUAAUCGGAAUUACUGGGCGUAAAGCGUGCGCAGGCGGUUGUGCAAGACCGAUGUGAAAUCCCCGGGCUUAACCUGGGAAUUGCAUUGGUGACUGCACGGCUAGAGUGUGUCAGAGGGAGGUAGAAUUCCACGUGUAGCAGUGAAAUGCGUAGAGAUGUGGAGGAAUACCGAUGGCGAAGGCAGCCUCCUGGGAUAACACUGACGCUCAUGCACGAAAGCGUGGGGAGCAAACAGGAUUAGAUACCCUGGUAGUCCACGCCCUAACGAUGUCAACUAGUUUUGGGGAUUCAUUUCCUUAGUAACGUAGCUACGCGGUGAAGUGACCGCCUGGGGAGUACGGUCGCAAGAUUAAAACUCAAAGGAAUUGACGGGACCGCAAAGCGGUGGAUGAUGUGGAUUAAUUCGAUGCACGGGAAAACUUUACUACCUUUGACAUGCCACUACGGAGCAGAAUGCAUAAGGUGCUCGAAAGGAAUGUGGAACAGUGCUGCAUGCUGUCGUCAGGUCUGGUCGUGGGAUAUGUGGUAAGGUCCCGCACGGGGCACCUUGUCUCUUAUGGUGGCCUACGAGCACUCUAGAGAACGGCGGCACUGGUAGUGGAUAGACCAAGUCUUAGCUUAUGGUAUAUCCACGCUAAUGGUCCACAGGGUGCCACAGCGAAGUGGUAACUAC